UAGGGAAUCUUCGGCGAUGGGGGCAACCCUGACCGAGCAACGCCGCGUGAGUGAAGAAGGUUUUCGGAUCGUAGAGCUCUGUUGUAAGAGAAGAACGUGUGUGAGAGUGGAAAGUUCACACAGUGACGGUAACUUACCAGAAAGGGACGGCUAACUACGUGCCAC
rnacentral:rRNA from 1 species